rnacentral:rRNA from 1 species
CUUGUGACUCCUACGGGAGGCAGCAGUGGGGAAUAUUGCACAAUGGGGGAAACCCUGAUGCAGCCAUGCCGCGUGUGUGAAGAAGGCCUUCGGGUUGUAAAGCACUUUCAGUAGGGAGGAAGGUAGUGUAGUUAACACCUGCACUAUUUGACGUUACCUACAGAAGAAGCACCGGCUAACUCCGUGCCAGCAGCCGCGGUAAUACGGAGGGUGCGAGCGUUAAUCGGAAUUACUGGGCGUAAAGCGCAUGCAGGCGGCCUGUUAAGUCAGAUGUGAAAGCCCCGGGGCUUAACCUCGGAAUUGCAUUUGAAACUGGCAGGCUAGAGUCUUGUAGAGGGGGUAGAAUUUCAGGUGUAGCGGUGAAAUGCGUAGAGAUCUGAAGGAAUACCAGUGGCGAAGGCGGCCCCCUGGACAAAGACUGACGCUCAGAUGCGAAAGCGUGGGGAGCAAACAGGAUUAGAUACCCUGGUAG